GCCAGUAUGGCGUAGUGGUUUAAGUGUUGGACCAUGACUCCGGAGACCAGGGUUCGAUUCCCACCUCAACCA
rnacentral:tRNA from 1 species